AUGGGAAUACCUUCCUUCUUCAGCUGGCUCGUGGGCAAGUACCCAAAAAUCGUCGGCACCAUCAUCGACGUCUACUCUGCCUCGUCAUCGGAGGAGGACGAGGAGGAAGAAAAAGAAGAAGAGGAGGAAGAGAAGGGGGGAGAAGAAGAGGUUGAUGAAGAUGAUGAUGAAGAAGAGAUCAUCUACGACAACCUCUACCUCGACAUGAAUGAAAUCAUCCACAAAUGCUUCCGCCUCAACAACGGGCUGGUGUACAAUUGGUUUUUCGCUUACUUGGAUCGCCUGUUUCGCAUCGUCAGGCCAAGGAGGCUCCUUUACUUGGCAGUAGAUGGCGUCGCCCCUAUGUCCAAGAUGACCAAGCUGCGACAGAGGUACUUCAAAACUGCCAAGUAUCGUGCAGACUCGGAGGCUGAAGCGAUUCUCUUGACGGAGAUAUUCAGAGCUCAGGGGAAAGAGGUGAUGCCCCGAGAUACGUACGAGCUUGAGAAUCCUGUUGUCAAGAUGCCGGGGACGGAAUUCAUGGAGAAGAUAUCAGCAGCGCUGGAGUACUUCAUCCGCGAACGGUUGAAUACGGACCCUGAAUGGAAAGACAUCAAGGUAAUACUUUCUGAUGCAAAUGUUCCUGGAGAAGGGGAGCACAAGAUCAUGUCUUUCAUUCGCGCGCAACGAAGCAUGGAAAACUAUGAUCCGAACACCCGCCAUUGUCUGCAUGGGCAUGAUGCAGAUCUGAUCAUGCUUGCGUUGGCAUCUCACGAAGUCCACAUUUCAAUUUUGCGGGAGUUCGAUAAUCCAAAUGGCAGGAUACCCGCGAGAUUUUAUCAGUUUGUGGACAUAUGGAUUCUGAGAGAGUACUUGGAGCUUGAAAUGAAGACACCAGGUUGCAAACAAGAUACCGAGAGACUAAUAGAUGACUUUAUCUUUAUUUGUUUCUUGACAGGAAACGAUUUCAUUCCACAGAUUCCUUCACUAGAGAUAAAUGAAUUUGCAGUUGAUCUUCUCAUUGAAGUGUACAAAACAACCUUCAACAAAAUGGGGGGCUAUAUGGUCAACACAGACAAAAUCAAAGAUAAAUACGGUGCGUAUCUGGAAGUCUCAAGGUUAGAGAAGUUCUUUCAUGAACUGUCCUUGUGCGAAGAGAAAAUUUUACUCAAAAGAUAUGAACUGCAAGAGAAGUUACUGUGCAAGAUACAGAGUGAAGCUGCAGUAAAGGAAUGGGCCAAGGGAGAGGACAGGGGAGAGAAGAAAACAUCAUUUGCUCAACAUUUUUUUUAUCCUGUAGAGACUUCCCUUGAAAGAAAGUCUGACGAUGUGGUCCGAAAGAAUACCAGGGAGCUAUGGAGAACUGUGAGCGAUAUUUUCUGUAAUAAGGAUGACCUUUUUAAAAAUGGAGCCUGCAAACAAGACAAGAUAAGACCAGGAUGGAAAUCCCGGUUCUACAGAGAGAAGCUUGGUGCCGAAACUUCUAAAGAAGUUGGAAGGCUGCAGACAGAAAUGGUUCAGAAGUAUUUAGAAGGAUUAUGCUGGAUGCUUCAAUGCUAUUUUUAUGAAGUUCCUUCAUGGACUUGGUGCUACCCAUUCUAUUAUGCUCCUUUUGCAUCGGAUUUCAAAUGUCUGUCUCAAUUCAACAUAUCUUUCACCGUGGACAAACCACUAAGACCAUUUGAUCAGCUCAUGGCAGUUUUGCCACCACAAAAGAAUGUUUUGUCAUGUGCCCUUCCAAAAUGUUACAGCAAAUUAAUAGGCUGUGAAGAAUCUAAAAUACAAAUGUCCCAUCCAACAGAGUUCGAGAUUGAUCCAGAUGGCAAACGUUUCUUGUCACAAGGUAUUGCAAAGUUACCAUUCAUAGACAAGGAACUGCUGCUUUCAGCUACCAAAAUGGUAGAGAAAGAUCUAACGGAGGAUGAGAUGGCACGGAAUAAUGCUCGGCAGGAGAGGAUCUUCCUGAGGAACUCGCAGAGUCUGGCAAAUACUGCAGCAUUUGUGGCAACAAUUUCAGACAAUGCACAGAAAAAGCUUUGGAUAGACACUAGUGAAAUAGGGGGAUGGUUCUCACCAGAUGAGAAGGAGGUUGAAAGCUCUGCGUUAAGAAAAAAUAAGGUUCAACACGCGUGGUCGUGGAUAAGAGAUCCACACAUGACAGUUCCUCACAUCACAUCCCCUGUGUCACUGUGUGAAUGUCUCCUCAGAUCAGCAAUGUUCUUCAACCCUGAGGCAGUGAAGCCGAUUUCAAGACUGCUUGACAAUGUCAUAGUGCCUGACAAGACUAUAACUGAAGCGGACAUUCGGAAGAGGCCGAUGUGGCACACGUACCCGGGUCCAAGGCCAAGACGGCCGCAUGUCACCCACAAACCAGACACCCAUUGGAAGGCGAGCUCGCCGGCGACGCCGAGAGAAGAGCACAAGCUCGCCGGAGAGGGGUGGCUGGGACGGGGGAAGGGAAGCGCCGCUGCCACUGCCGAGACACGGCAGAUCGGGCCGAGCGGCUAUGGGAGAGGUUCCCAGGGUGCGGACAUGGCGCAGAGACAGAGCCGAGGCAGCCGGUUCGACGGCGGUGAUGAGUGGGCAGGAGGAGGCGGCGGCGGCGCGGUGAAGAGGCCGGAGACGGAGGGGCGGCCCGUUGGGUUGUGGGCGAGAGGAGGCGGCCGUCGCGGGAGCGGGCCAGCCCGCCGCGGUAGCACGUUUUAA
rnacentral:rRNA from 1 species